GCAUAUCAAUAAGCGGAGGAAAAGAAACUAACAAGGAUUCCCCUAGUAACUGCGAGUGAAGCGGGAAAAGCUCAAAUUUAAAAUCUGGCAGUCUUUGAUUGUCCGAGUUGUAAUCUAGAGAAGCAUUAUCCGCGCUGGACCGUGUACAAGUCUCCUGGAAUGGAGCGUCAUAGAGGGUGAGAAUCCCGUCUUUGACACGGACUGCCAGGGCUUUGUGAUGUGCUCUCAAAGAGUCGAGUUGUUUGGGAAUGCAGCUCAAAAUGGGUGGUAAAUUCCAUCUAAAGCUAAAUAUUGGCGAGAGACCGAUAGCGAACAAGUACCGUGAGGGAAAGAUGAAAAGAACUUUGGAAAGAGAGUUAAACAGUACGUGAAAUUGCUGAAAGGGAAACGCUUGAAGUCAGUCGCGUUGGCCGGGAAUCAACCUUGCUUUUGCUGGGCGUACUUCCUGGUUAACGGGUCAGCAUCAAUUUUGACCGUUGGAUAAAGUUGUUGGGAAUGUGGCAUCUUCGGAUGUGUUAUAGCCCAGUUUCGUAUACAACGGUUGGGAUUGAGGAACUCAGCACGCCGCAAGGCCGGGUUUUUAACCACGUUCGUGCUUAGGAUGCUGGCAUAAUGGCUUUAAUCGACCCGUCUUGAAACACGGACCAAGGAGUCUAACAUGCCUGCGAGUGUUUGGGUGGAAAACCCGAGCGCGUAAUGAAAGUGAAAGUUGAGAUCCCUGUCGUGGGGAGCAUCGACGCCCGGACUUGAACUUUUGUGACGGAUCCGCGGUAGAGCAUGUAUGUUGGGACCCGAAAGAUGGUGAACUAUGCCUGAAUAGGGUGAAGCCAGAGGAAACUCUGGUGGAGGCUCGUAGCGAUUCUGACGUGCAAAUCGAUCGUCAAAUUUGGGUAUAGGGGCGAAAGACUAAUCGAACCAUCUAGUAGCUGGUUCCUGCGA
rnacentral:rRNA from 1 species